rnacentral:rRNA from 1 species
UACAGAGGGUGCGAGCGUUAAUCGGAAUUACUGGGCGUAAAGCGUGCGUAGACGGUAGCGUAAGUCAGAUGUGAAAGCCCCGGGCUCAACCUGGGAACUGCAUUUGAGACUGCUCUGCUCGGGUGCGGAAGAGGGAAGCGGAAUUUCCGGUGUAGCGGUGAAAUGCGUAGAUAUCGGAAGGAACGUCGAUGGCGAAGGCAGCCACCUGGCAUCAUACUGACGCUGAGGCGCGAAAGCGUGGGUAGCGAACAGG